ensembl:rRNA 5S_rRNA 5S ribosomal RNA
AUCUAUGGCCAUACUACCCUGAACACACCCAGUCUCUCUGAUCUUGACAGAUAAGCAGGGCCUGGUUAGGACUUGGAGUGGCGGCUGCCUGGGAAUACCAAGGGCUGUAGACU